GGGACUGUGGUUUAGUGGUAGAGUGCUUGCCUAGAACACAUGAAGCUCUAGGUUCAAUUCCUCAGUACUA
rnacentral:tRNA from 1 species